rnacentral:lncRNA from 1 species
CGCGCUGGGGUCAGGGGGGCGCUAGGCUGGCCGGGGACGGCAGAAGGGACCCGCUGCGUGAGGAGCCCUCCGGGGACCCCCCCGGGAGAGCCGAGUCGGGGGGACAGCGGGGAGGAUCCUCUCCAGGGACCCCCGCGCUCCCUGUGGCACAGAGGCGCAGGACGUGACCGGAAUACAGCUGCGCCCACCUCUCCCAGGGCGCCCGGCAAGUUUGGGAAGGGGAAACACGCGUGACUUAGGUGAAUGCCUUGCUGGCCAGAAAAAUGCCUCCCUGGAAACAGACUUCUGGGAGGGGAAGGAAGGAAAAAAAAAAGCAAACGCAAAAAGCAACCUGUGAAAGAGACAAGAAAGAGAAAGAAAACGGCCGGAUUAAUAAUAGGUUGCAGGUUUAUGCACCAGCACGCUGCUGGGCCAUUAGGACUGACAGACUGACAGACAGACAGACAGACAGACAGGGGCCCUGUGGGCUUUGUGCAGCGCCAGAGCUCGCCUGGACCUCAUGCUGGACACGUCUGCCCGUUCCUCUCAAGACUCAAUUUCUACCCACUUCAGGGAUAAAGACAAAUGGAAAAAAAAAAUUUUGGAGACCGAGUUCUGGGCCCUCAGGAACCACAGGUCCGUGGGUUGUGUGUGUUGGGAGCGGUGCCCAUACAGUGAGUGUGCCCACGCGUGCGUGGGUAAAAUCCGACUUGAGCCAGAGUGAUUUUGCGGCAGUGAGGGAGUGCAGGUGCCCCCAAGGCCGUGCGGCGUUGGCUGUCCGAGCAGAUACAAUUCAGGGCAGUCCCUGGCGAGGUGGGUGGAUCUUCUUGCAAGAUGCAGUGUGUGUCUGUUUCCUGAGCACCUCGCCCCCUCCAAAGAGGUCAGCUCCACCCCCAGACAAAGAACCGAAAGCCCAUCCUUUACACAGCAAAACAGGUCUCCUCGCGGUUUCCCUGGCGACGGGUGGACGGACACGGAGAGCGUGGCCCCGUUUUGGAACAAGGGGGAGAAAACACAGGCGGCCCAGGACGUCCGGAAACGGCCAGGAUCUCACGGCGCGGCGCCUGCGCUCGGAGGGCUGAUGCUGCUGUACACCCCCCACCCCGAGCCCUCACUCUGCAGCUUGGCGCCUUCGCACUGAGCCCCGGCCCGGCCCUUUUUUAUUUUUUAUUUUGGUUCUGG